AUCCGGCUAACGAGUCCCAAAUAGGACGAAACGCGCAUCCUGGAU
rnacentral:hammerhead_ribozyme from 1 species